rnacentral:tRNA from 1 species
UCCCUGGCAGUCCAGUGGCUAAGACGUCACACUCCCAAUGAAGGGGGCUCAGGUUUGAUUCCUGGUCAGGGAA